GGAGGAAGGAAGAAAUCACAAGGAAACCUUUGUGUCUCAGCCAAGGGUUCAUCGUGGGUGAACCGCAUCCCCCCUGAGACUCUGUGAGGAUAACCUGCCUUCACGCAGCCUUGCAGGCCACCUCACUGAAUGUGAUGCUCAGAGUAUGGGUGGAAAAUUCAUAAAUUGGGAUUUGAUGCCAGACUGCAGGUAAAUGCUUGUUACCAUGAUGACUUCAGAGCAACUGCUGUCUGCACAAUGGGAGGUCCUAAGCAACUAAAAAAGGAAGGAGAACAGCUGAAAGUUUUUUUGAAAAGGUU